AUGGAAUAGCAGUGUUCUGUGUAGUAUUCCUUCACAUACAUUCAUAGUGAUAAUAAGAUGGAACAUUCAGCAGAAACUUCUAUUAUGCAUGGUACUGGGCUCCAUUUUAUGAAAAACUUUCUUUCUUCUGGAGAAAAUUCAAUCAGAGUAGAUCAUUAUUUCUAAUUCCUCUUUGUAUUGCUUGUUCAUGCCAAUGAGGAGAAAAGACGUCUCUAAUAGAGUUUAAUAUGUGGUAAAUUACCAAGAUGUCAGCUCUAUAUUUGAUUGGAAUUAAUGUAAGUUUUUAGAAUAUGGCAUGCUGAAUCUGAAAAAUGGCCUAAUCACAUAAUGAGGAAAAGAAACAAUCAUUAUUUUCUCCUUUCUUUAUGCCCUUAAGCACCACUGAGGAACUGAAGAAUGCAACAUGAAGAAACCAAUAUUUAAGUUGGGUUUUGAAGAUUGGGAAGUUUUCUGGUCUGUUCUUGGCAAGGGUGGUGACAACAGAUGCUUAAAAAGCUGAUAUUCAGAAGCUGGACAUUAGAUGCUAUAAGGAAAGUGCACUGAGUCUGUAUCAGACCAGAAUAUGAUUAUCUCGCCACGUACAGGUACCACUCUAACUGUAAGAGGAAAGAAAGGUAAACAAAACUCAAUAAUAUCAC
rnacentral:lncRNA from 1 species